UACGUAGGGGGCAAGCGUUGUCCGGAUUUACUGGGCGUAAAGCGCGCGUAGGCGGACGCUUAAGUGUGGCCUGAAAGCCCCCGGCUCAACCGGGGAGGGCGGCUGCAAACUGGGCGUCUUGAGGGCGAUAGAGGUCGGUGGAAUUCCUGGUGUAGCGGUGAAAUGCGUAGAGAUCAGGAGGAAGGCCGGUGGCGAAGGCGGCGCUCUGGAACAUUUCUGACGCUGAGGCUCGAAAGCGUGGGGAGCAAACAGG
rnacentral:rRNA from 1 species